GACAGGAGUGUAAAAGGCCUUGAUGCGUUUUUCGUUGAGCCAUCGCUGACACCGAGCGUGAUCCUGGGCCAGCUCCUUAAAGUUGGUCCGACGGGAAACCUGGAGCAGAGGAGGAGGGACGAGACACAGACGAGGUGUGACGAUCAGUGCACUAAAAGCUGAAGGGACCCACUGAGGUGCUACAACACUGAAUCUACAGAAGGAAACACAGAUGGAGAAGUCGUAGCCCAGCGUGCAGGCGGCGUCGGUGCAGUUCACCGUGUCGCUCACCGUGUCGUUGUGGUCGCCGGUCGCAUCUCUGACGAUGCAGGAUCCUGCAGGAGGAGAAACCCAAC